GGAGGCCAUAUCACACUGAAACACCAUUUCGCGUACGAUCACCAAAGUUAAGCAGCAUCGAACAUGAUCAGUAACUAGAUGGGUGACCGUUUAGGAAUACCAGAUGACGCAAG